rnacentral:rRNA from 1 species
UGGCGGCCUUAGCGCGGUGGUCCCACCUGACCCCAUACCGAACUCAGAAGUGAAACGCCGUAGCGCCGAUGGUAGUGUGGGGUCUCCCCAUGCGAGAGUAGGGAACUGCCA